GGAAGGGUUGCCAGACCUGAAACGUUAACUCUGAUUUUUCGCCAGACCCGCUGAGCCUUUCCAGCAACUUCUAUUUUUGCUCCAGGUUUACAUGGAGCCCUGCCAGGCAGCAUGCAACAGGAACAGAGGGGAUUCUGAUUAAUGUUUCUCCAUCACUUAGGCAGCAACACAAAGUCACUUCUGGUCACACAGGUAGGGCAACGACUGGCCACUUGCUGCUCGGGAUUCGAUAGCCUCCACCCACCCCCCCCACACCCUCUGUGACGUGGAAACAUUCCCAGCUGCUCACACAACGCUCGCUUUGUGGAUCAACCCCAGUGGGGGUAAUGAGAAACUUCCAGCAUAUGAUCUUCAACCUGGGUUCUACAACAGGGUGAUACCAACUGCACCACCACUGACCACAGCUCAGAAGUCACUAUCCUGAUGAACAGCAACAAUCAGUCACCAGGUAACCCAUCGAGCUGCUCAGUGAGAGAAGACACCGCAGCAAGAAAGUAAAUACAAAAGCCAAGAACUGGAGACAACUGUGAUAUCUGCCAUCAGAGUAACCAAUGGUCCAUUACCUGAAUGGAGAAGGGAAUCUGAGGUUUUUUUUUAAACAAUGUGACGUCUAUUUGAUUUUCUGUUUCUUGAAUUAAAAUCUCAG